AAUGAACGCUGGCGGCGCGCCUAAUACAUGCAAGUCGAGCGAGAAGACGUAGCAAUACGUUUGUAAAGCGGCGAACGGGUGAGGAAUACAUGGGUAACCUACCCUCGAGUGGGGAAUAACUAGCCGAAAGGUUAGCUAAUACCGCGUACGCUUCUUGGACUUCGGUUCAGGGAGGAAAGCGAUACCGUGGGUAUCGCGCUCUUGGAUGGGCUCAUGUCCUAUCAGCUUGUUGGUGAGGUAACGGCUCACCAAGGCUUCGACGGGUAGCUGGUCUGAGAGGACGAUCAGCCACACUGGCACUGCGACACGGGCCAGACUCCUACGGGAGGCAGCAGUAAGGAAUAUUGCGCAAUGGGCGAAAGCCUGACGCAGCGACGCCGCGUGGGGGAUGAAGGUCUUCGGAUUGUAAACCCCUUUCGGGAGGGAAGAUGGAAUGGGUAACCCAUUCGGACGGUACCUCCAGAGCAGCCACGGCUAACUUCGUGCCAGCAGCCGCUGUAAG
rnacentral:rRNA from 1 species